rnacentral:rRNA from 1 species
GCUACGGGUGGCAGCAGUGAGGAAUAUUGGUCAAUGGACGCAAGUCUGAACCAGCCAUGCCGCGUGCAGGAAAACGGCUCUAUGAGUUGUAAACUGCUUUUGUACGAGGGUAAACGCAGAUACGCGUAUCUGUCUGAAAGUAUCGUACGAAUAAAGAUCGGCUAACUCCGUGCCAGCAGCCGCGGUAAUACGGAGGAUUCAAUCGUUAUCCGGAUAUAUUGGGGUUAAAGGGUACGUAGGCGGUCGGUCAAGUUAGAGGUGAAAUCCCGAGGCGCAAAUUCGGAAUUGCCUCUGAGACUGUUCGGCUAGAGAGUAGUUGCGGUAGGCGGAAUGUAUGGUGUAGCGGUGAAAUGCUUAGAGAUCAUACAGAACACCGAUUGCGAAGGCAGCUUACCAAGCUACUUCUGACGUUGAGGCACGAAAGCGUGGGGAGCAAACAGGAUUAGAUACCCGAGUAGUC